rfam:Nicotiana attenuata strain TT scaffold03283, whole genome shotgun sequence.
UGGACAGCUUAUUGUAUUCACGGCGUGAAACAAGGGAUUACACUGUUUUUAAACGGAAAGUGAAUCAAUUAACAUAAUAGACUCCU